CGUUUUAUAGGUUUUACGGAGUACCGGUUUCGAAAACGUUCACCAUUUUGGAAUCAAGGAUGGCGGCUACGCAUUUUGUCAUAAAAGUCGUCAUGGAUGGAAUCCAAGAUGGCGGACAUGCACUAUGUCAUAAAAGUCGUCAUGGAUGUCGUUUUAUAGGUUUAAGCGAGUGCAGAUUUCAAAAAUUAUGACCAUUUUGGAAUCCAAGAUGGCGGACAUGCACUAUGUCAUAAAAGUCGUCAUGGAUGGCGUUUUAUGGGUUUUAGGGAGUGCUAGUUUCGAAAAUGAUGACCGUUUUGGAAUCCUAGAUGGCGGACAUGCACUAUGUCAUAAAAGUCGUCAUGGAUGUCGUUUUAUAGGUUUAAGGGAGUGCAGAUUUCAAAAAUGAUGACCAUUUUGGAAUCCAAGAUGGCAGACAUGCACUAUGUCAUAAGUCGUCAUGGAUGUCAUUUUGUAGGUUUAAGGGAGUGCAGAUUUCAAAAAUGAUGACCAUUUUGGAAUCCAAGAUGGCGGACAUGUACUAUGUCAUAAAAGUCGUCAUGGAUGGCGUUUUAUGGGUUUUAGGGAGUGCUAGUUUCGAAAAUGAUGACCGUUUUGGAAUCCUAGAUGGCGGACAUGCACUAUGUCAUAAAAGUCGUCAUGGAUGUCGUUUUAUAGGUUUAAGGGAGUGCAGAUUUCAAAAAUGAUGACCAUUUUGGAAUCCAAGAUGGCAGACAUGCACUAUGUCAUAAGUCGUCAUGGAUGUCAUUUUGUAGGUUUAAGGGAGUGCAGAUUUCAAAAAUGAUGACCAUUUUGGAAUCCAAGAUGGCGGACAUGUACUAUGUCAUAAAAUCGUCAUGGAUGUCGUUAUAUGGGUUUUGGGGAGUGUCGAUUUCGAAAAUGAUGACUA